rnacentral:rRNA from 1 species
UUGACCUCAAAUCAGGUAGGACUACCCGCUGAACUUAAGCAUAUCAAUAAGCGGAGGAAAAGAAACUAACAAGGAUUCCCCUAGUAACUGCGAGUGAAGCGGGAAAAGCUCAAAUUUGAAAUCUGGCAGUCUUUUUUUUCUUCUUUGGCUGUCCGAGUUGUAAUCUAGAGAAGUGCUUACCUGCACUGGACC